rnacentral:rRNA from 1 species
UGAGGAAUAUUGGUCAAUGGGCGGAAGCCUGAACCAGCCAAGUCGCGUGAGGGAAGACGGUCUUACGGAUUGUAAACCUCUUUUGCCGGGGAGCAAAGGGCGCCACGCGUGGCGUUUCGAGAGUACCCGGAGAAAAAGCAUCGGCUAACUCCGUGCCAGCAGCCGCGGUAAUACGGAGGAUGCGAGCGUUAUCCGGAUUUAUUGGGUUUAAAGGGUGCGUAGGCGGGCCGGUAAGUCAGCGGUAAAAUAGCGGGGCUCAACCCCGUCGAGCCGUUGAAACUGCCGGUCUUGAGUGGGCGAGAAGUGCGCGGAAUGCGUGGUGUAGCGGUGAAAUGCAUAGAUAUCACGCAGAACCCCGAUUGCGAAGGCAGCGCACCGGCGCCCGACUGACGCUGAAGCACGAAAGCGUGGGGAUCGAACAGGAUUAGAUACC